rnacentral:tRNA from 1 species
GAGGGUGUAGCUCAGUGGUAGAGCAUAUGCUUAGCAUGCAUGAGGUCCUGGGUUCAAUCCCCAGUACCUCCA